UCAUUCAGACAGGCCCUUCCGCACCAAAUCUGGGACUGAAAGCCCAUCCCACCUACGUUAAAAACUGCUGCAAUAAAUAUUCUGAGUGGAUUGCAGCUGAGCAGCUAUGGCCCUCUGGCAUUCGUUAAGGGUUACCAAAGACUCUUCUCUGUCAGGAAUCGUCUCGCCUAGUGCAAGAGAAUGUUCAACCCGACUGCAGGGUGUUCUGGCUCAUGUACUGCAGAAGACACAAAUUUUGCUUUUUGAGUGACUGGCUUAUGAAUGACACAGCUUCAGUGAGCUUUAGCGAAAGGUUAGUAAAAUAAUUUGAUUUCAAACGACUCUAUUAAUACUGUACAGUGUGUUAGCAAGAACAUU
rnacentral:lncRNA from 1 species